UGAAGCCAGGUCGUCUGGGUUUAUUGGUUGGGCCGUGGAUUUUCUCCAAGCUUGCUGGCGAAGACGGAGCUGCUGGUAUUUCUGGAGUGGCGUUGGAGUAGAGCUACGUUGCUCGGGAAGGAGAUUGCCUCUGCUCCCUACUGUGCU